rnacentral:lncRNA from 1 species
CAACCCACAGCUAGAACAACCAACCGCAUUACAGUAUUAGCUAGCGCUGCAACCAUUGGUUCGCACCCCUCGCAAAUUUCAUUGCAGAUACUAGAUUGAGUACCAUAGUGAACCGUAACUUGUGCAGGAAUUGGAUUGAUUCUGAAUGUGGGCAUUGAAGUCAGGAGUCUAGAGUCUUCCUUCCUCCAUUCAGAGUGGAAGAAAGGGGCUGAAAAAUUUCGGGGAAUCUAGCUAAGGUCCUUUGUCUUCCCGUAAUCAACUAGCAGUCCAUUGCUAUGUCUCGAUUGUUGCUUCAGAUGUUACUGCAUUUAGGUCUUUUCUUAAGAGAAUACAGUGGGAUUCCUCCCUAGUACUUCAACAUUAAAUCACUGGUUUGCCAAUUGGAUUGGCUAAUUUUGCACUAAUUUCCGGUCCUCUACAUACAUUCUGAAGUCCCCG